rnacentral:rRNA from 1 species
AAAUAAAAGUUAAUAAAUUAAUUUUCUCGAAUUAAAAAGAGCUAUGAUAAUAUGAAUUUAAUUGUGCCAUAAAUUUUUAUAUUAUCAUUGGGGUGAAACGUUAGUCGAUUUUUAAGAUAUCUAGUUUUUUAAGAAAUGAAUUUAAUUCAGUUUUUUUAAUUUAUAAAAUUAAUUAUUAUAGUUUUAUGAUUUAAGAAAGUAAUAUUUUUAGGGAUAAGCUUGAAAAUUUCAUUUUAUAAAUAAAGUUUUUAUUAAAGUUAAGAAUUAGUAGGAUUGAAAAUGUUUAUCUAUAACUUGCUAUAAUAAAUUUUUAAUUAAAUAAGAUUUAUAUAUAAUUUAAGUUAUUUUUUAAAAAUAUAAUAAUAAUUUAUGUGUAAUAAUGAUAGAAUUAGUAUAGAAUAUUGUAAGAUAUAGUUAAUAAUAAAGGUUAAGUUAAGGAACUCGGCAAAUAUACUUUUCGCCUGUUUAUUAAAAACAUGUCUUUUUGAUCAUAAUUUAAAGUCUAACCUGCCCAAUGAGGAGUUAAAUGGCCGCGGUACUUUGACCGUGCAAAGGUAGCAUACUCAUUAGUUUUUUAAUUGAAAGCUGGUAUGAACGGUUGGACGAGAAAGUGACUGUCUCAAUUUAAUUGUUUAUAGAACUUUAUUUAUAAGCAAAAAACUUAUAUAAUUUUAAAAGACGAGAAGACCCUAUAGAAUUUUAUAAUAAUAAAUAUAUAUUAUUAUUAGAAUAGUAAGUCUUAUAUAUAUAAAGUUAUUUUAUUGGGGCGAUAGAAAAAUUAAAUUAACUUUUUUUAAAUUAGUUCAUUAAUAUAUGUGUGAAUGAUCCGUUUAUUACGAUUAUAAGAUUCAAUUACCUUAGGGAUAACAGCCUAAUUUUUUCUUAGAGUUCUUAUCGAAAAAAGGGUUUGCGACCUCGAUGUUGGGUUAAAAUUAACUUUUGGUGUAGAGGCUAAAAGGUUAGGUCUGUUCGACCUUUAAAAU